AGUGAACGCUGGCGGUAGGCCUAACACAUGCAAGUCGAACGGCAGCACAGAGGAGCUUGCUCCUUGGGUGGCGAGUGGCGGACGGGUGAGGAAUACAUCGGAAUCUACUCUGUCGUGGGGGAUAACGUAGGGAAACUUACGCUGAUACCGCAUACGACCUACGGGUGAAAGCAGGGGAUCUUCGGGCCUUGCGCGAUUGAAUGAGCCGAUGUCGGAUUAGCUAGUUGGCGGGGUAAAGGCCCACCAAGGCGACGAUCCGUAGCUGGUCUGAGAGGAUGAUCAGCCACACUGGAACUGAGACACGGUCCAGACUACUACGGGAGGCAGCAGUGGGGAAUAUUGGACAAUGGGCGCAAGCCUGAUCCAGCCAUACCGCGUGGGUGAAGAAGGCCUUCGGGUUGUAAAGCCCUUUUGUUGGGAAAGAAAUCCAUCUGGUUAAUACCCGGGUGGGAUGACGGUACCCAAAGAAUAAGCACCGGCUAACUUCGUGCCAGCCGCCGCCGUAA
rnacentral:rRNA from 1 species